AGAGACCGAUAGCGCACAAGUAGAGUGAUCGAAAGAUGAAAAGCACUUUGAAAAGAGGGUUAAAUAGCACGUGAAAUUGUUGAAAGGGAAGCGUUUGCGACCAGACCUUUUCCUAGCGGAUCAUCCGGUGUUCUUCGCCGGUGCACUUCGCUAGGUCGAGGCCAGCAUCGGUUUCUGCAGGGGGAUAAAAGCCCAGGGAACGUAGCUCUUUCGGGAGUGUUAUAGCCCUCCGCAUAAUACCCUUGCGGGGACCGAGGACCGCGCUUUUUGCAAGGAUGCUGGCGUAAUGGUCGUCAACGACCCGUCUUGAAACACGGACCAAGGAGUCGAACAUUUAUGCGAGUGUUUGGGUGUUAAACCCUCACGCGUAAUGAAAGUGAACGGAGGUGAGAGCCCUUACGGGUGCAUCAUCGACCGAUCCUGAUGUCUUCGGAUGGAUUUGAGUAAGAGCAUAACUGUUCGGACCCGAAAGAUGGUGAACUAUGCGUGGAUAGGGUGAAGCCAGAGGAAACUCUGGUGGAGGCUCGCAGCGGUUCUGACGUGCAAAUCGAUCGUCAAAUCUGCGCAUGGGGGCGAAAGACUA
rnacentral:rRNA from 1 species